AGUGAACGCUGGCGGUAGGCCUAACACAUGCAAGUCGAACGGCAGCACAGGAGAGCUUGCUCUCUGGGUGGCGAGUGGCGGACGGGUGAGGAAUACAUCGGAAUCUACUUUUUCGUGAGGGAUAACGUAGGGAAACUUACGCUAAUACCGCAUACGACCUACGGGUGAAAGCAGGAGACCCUCGGGCCUUGCGCGAUUGAAUGCGCCGAUGUCGGAUUAGCUAGUUGGCGGAGUAAAGGCCCACCAAGGCGACGAUCCGUAGCUGGUCUGAGAGGAUGAUCAGCCACACUGGAACUGAGACACGGUCCAGACUCCUACGGGAGGCAGCAGUGGGGAAUAUUGGACAAUGGGCGCAAGCCUGAUCCAGCCAUACCGCGUGGGUGAAGAAGGCCUUCGGGUUGUAAAGCCCUUUUGUUGGGAAAGAAAUCCAGCUGGCUAAUACCCGGUUGGGAUGACGGUACCCAAAGAAGAAGCACCGGCUAACUUCGUGACAGCCGCCGCCGUAA
rnacentral:rRNA from 1 species